rnacentral:rRNA from 1 species
AAUCAACGCUGGCGGCGUGCCUAACACAUGCAAGUCGAGCGAGAAAGGGGCUUCGGCCCUGAGUAAAGCGGCGCACGGGUGAGUAACACGUGGGUAAUCUGCCCUAGAGUGGGGAAUAACACCGGGAAACCGGUGCUAAUACCGCAUACGAUCAUUGGAUCUUCGGAUUUGGUGAUGAAAGGAGCAAUCCGCUCUUGGAGGAGCCCGCGGCUGAUUAGCUAGUUGGUAAGGUAAUGGCUUACCAAGGCUACGAUCAGUAUCCGGUCUGAGAGGACGGUCGGACACACUGGAACUGAGACACGGUCCAGACUCCUACGGGAGGCAG